ACAAGGCGUCACAGCUGCUUCUCACCGUUACUCCUGGACACUCUUGUGCUCUGCCUCCAUCUGUGUCUCACCAUCACCAUCGCCACCCCUAUCCAUCUCAUGUGCGUUCUCGCAUAUCUUUGCACAUGCGCGCACACGUAGGGCAGAAGAAGAGGAAGCUCGAAGAGCAUCUGAGGUGGAGAGAGACGGACGGGGAUAAGCGAAUCCAGCUUAAACUUCGUCUGAUUUUUCGUUUUCUUGUUAUUUGGUCUUGCUAUUGCCUCCGCCAUCGCCACCGACACCAACACACACACGCACAUACACGCAUAGCGGGAGAGCGCCCGUCUGUGCCUCGCUGAAACACAUAUAAAAGAGGGGUAAGGCAAGCGCGUUCGGUCUUGUGUGCCGGUGCGCUGGCGUUGACUGGGGCUGUGCCUCACGAGCCGCCACCUCUCCCACCUCUCUUCCUCUACCUCUCGCCUUUGCGGGCCACGUUCCCUGGUGCUCACAUCAUCGCGCGUUUCUUUUGUGGUGGUGGUUAUUUCGUUCUGCCUCAUUCUUUCAUGCGGUGGGGCCUUUCGUGUGUAUCGAAUUCGAUUCUUCUUGUUCUCACUGCUGCUGCUGCCCUUUUGCAUGUGCACGAAGGCGGGCUUCACUGCGUGGGGUGGCCUCUUCUUGUUUUCUUUUUAUUUUGGCUGCUGUUGUUGGUUUUGUUUUCAUGGAAAAGCACGUGCGUGAGGUACACAGGGAGCACACAUACACACACACGAACCGCCUUCUUCGCUUUCCUUCCACCGCGACCGUGGUAGUGCACGCAUGGCCCAGCACACGCGCGGCGAAAGCGGUCUUGCUUCUUCGUACCUUUACUUUCGCUACGAUCUCUACCGGGACGGCUCUCUGCAAUUCCUCUCUUGUAUGCUUUCCACCACGGUUGCCGAUCCGAAGCCUCUGACAACAUAGAGAGAACUAAGCGGGUGAGAGAGAGGGGGGUCAGUGAGUAAGCAGACGAAGCGUUGAAGCAGGGAGAACCUCGAUAAAGAAUCCGGUGUCUGCACCGCAGCAAGGCGCCACCGCCUGUGUGUGUGUGUGUGCGUGCAUGUAGGCGGAGAGGGGCGGAGGGGAUACAUCACCCAGGAGGAGGUGCAGCGCCGCUGUGCACAGGCACAACAAAAAAAAAACGCAUCUUGGUUAAACACGAUAACGCCUUGACAGUGCAAAGUUUGUACGGUGGCUUCAAGACUUGUUUUUUUUUUGUCGUCUUCGUUCCUGCCCCUCCAGUCGUCGCGUGUGUUGGCGAGCCUGGAGUGGCGGCAUCACUGAAGCGAAGGGGGGAGCCUCACUGCUGACUUCACACCCUUGACACACAUACAUACAUACAUACAUACACACAUACACACACACACACACAAGAGCGAGCCGUACCUCCUCCCUUCUCUCCUUUCUCACAAGCGUAAUACAUGGCGCUCGCGUUAUCCUCACGGAAGGCGGAUGCCGGUGCCUUGGCGGCCAUGACUCGCGUGGCUGUUUCAAAUCCGACCGCGCACGCCACGGCGUUGCCGCGGAGCCUCUUGUACGUGUGGGUGGUGGGCAACCCGACCAGCGGCGGCGAACGAGGUGCGGCGCUGCUGGAUCAAGUUGAGACGCUGUUCUGCCAAUCUUUCGGCAGAGAUACAGUGCACACCGCCAGCAGCAGCAACCUCUUGCACAUCCUUUCCUUGCAUCAGCCUGUGCCAGGGUCUUCAUCGGAAGGGAUGGAAAGUGGAGCACACGGGCACAGGCCUGAAGCAUCAGCGUGGGGGCCGACCGCUGGCUCAGCACCACCAUACUCGUCGGCUGUGAGUGCUGUGUGGAAUGCCACAGCAGCGGCCAUGCCGGCGACCCCAGCUGACUGCGCACUGUCCUCCGUGGCAUCCUCUGUUAGUGGUGUCGCGCUGCGUACGCUUAUCAUUCGCACGAACCGAUGUGGACACUUGAAGCUGUUGAGUCACUCGCUCAGUCAACUCAUUCUGUGCUCUCGUCUCGACGACGAUCGUCAGCGGCCGCCGCAGGGCCCCAUGCUGUCUUCCACGCCGCACAGCGCCAGCGCUUCGGCAACUCUUGGGAACGACAACGACGAGUGCGAAUCGCCGCCGCUAGGCAUCAAAAGAACAUCCGCCACUUACCAGCGCGCAAGCAGGAGUCGUCCAGAGCAGCCGUCCACGCAUCACGUUAUUCUCGUCGUUGGUGGCGAUGGGACACUGAGCGAAGUCACGAACGGGCUGUGCGAGGGAACGCUAGCCGGGUUCGCACAGCUUGCACUGAGAGGUGGCUCUAGUGCCGACACUGCCGCAGCCACAUCGCACGCACACGUUGAGCGCGAGGCCGCGGUGUUGUCGCACCUUCUUCCCGCUGUUCUGUAUGUGCCGGCAGGAACUGGCUCCGACUUUGCCAAACUUGGAUUAUGCUGCCGCACUCCAGAGGACGCUCUGCGAGUCGUGCGCGACGGACUCGCACGGGAGCUCUGCCCCGUCGCGAGCAGCCGCGGCGGCGAUGAUGGAGCACACGUUGACAGCGAGAGUUGUAGGUCUAUGGCUUCGAGCUCACCUGCUGCGCGGCAAACCAUAUCUGCGCCAUCCAGAUUGUCCGCGUGUGCUGCGUACGCGGUGGAUGUCGGCCGGAUCGAGUUUCUGCGCACCGGCACACGACACUUCUUCAUCAAUGAGUGCUCCGCUGGCAUGUCGUGCGACGUCAUCCAGCGUGGGGAGCGGUUCAAGCACUGUCGAUGGAUUUCCAUGCUGGGCGGUCUAGUGCUGUUCGCCGCGUCAUCCUUUGUGUCGCUGGUGCUCAUGAAGCCGAAGCCACUGUACAUCUGCAAGCUGCCCCCACGUGUGCCACUGUCCGCCGCCUCGGCGGCCCGGGCGGAAGACGUCGACACGGACGGCGGGGCAACCGAAACCGACGCGAGCCAAGAGCAGGCGAGCAAGGAAAGCAUUGGCGGCAGCGACAACUACGCAGCUGGGGUGCGCAGCAGCGACACGGACUGCACGUCAAUCUCUACAAGCCCGCUCUCCGAUGCGGCGUCAUCUUCGCCGUUGGGAUGGUCUCACUCCCUUGCUUCGCUUGCCCCCUUUGCACCCUUGAGCAAGCAGCUGGGCCGGUUGCGUGCGCGACUGCAGCGGAGUGCGCACGUGGAGCCGAGGACAGACGCUCCUGGUCACCGCUCAGAUGGUUCCCGGGACACAUCUGCAAACUACUGCGCUCAGCUGGCAGCGCCAGCGGCUCCAGCCAAGAACGGCGCGACGGCGUACACGCUGCAUGCGCGCACGCCAAUGCCGCCUUUACAUGCCAAGAAGGUUCGAUGUACGCUUCAGACGCCCUCCCAUCAAAUCCUGCAGCUUCUCGACAUCAGCCCCGACGAGCUUGAGAUGCACCGUAUGCAGCAGGAGCAGCGUGAUACCGGGGCGCCGGCGGGCACUUCAAGCACCGACUUCGCCACCGCCACCUCGAUAAAGGGCAUGGGUAGGGACGCCACCAGCAAAGGCACCGCCGCCGCCACGAGCUCGGGGGAAGACGAGGUGCAGCAUGAACACGUGCACCGCAAGCGGAAUGCGCAGAUUGGCAGUGAUGACCACAUCGGCGAGCACCACUGUCGCGUAAACAGUGGGGCCCUGUAUGUCGACGCCGCGCCCGGCAAAGGUGACGACGCGUGGCCACGCAACGUCGGCGAUGAUCAUCUCAUGUCGCUGACGUGGGUGGAGCUGCCAUCGUCCAUGGUCGCCUUCGCGAACGGCCGCUGGUACGGUGGAGGCAUGCUCGUCGCACCGCACGCGAAUCCAACAGAUGGACUGCUCAGCUGCACGAACUGGGUAGCGACGAUCCUGCCCUUUGUCUUCAGCGCUUUCUCCCUCUACACAGGAUGGCACGUGCGCUGGCGCAGCACGAGCGUCUUCGACGGCGAGCGGUUUCUCGUUACGGGCGGGACCCCUCCCAGUGCCGCCAAGGCUAUGACAGCAUCUCUGCACAGCUUGGCAGACGCGCCUUUGGACGCCGAGGAAGCGCUGUACAUGGAGGCGGACGGCGAAGUGCUGGAGGCAGCACCGGCCAUUGUGGAGCUUGCCGGCAAGCUUAUCUUUCUCGUUCCAAGCACAGCUACGGUGUGCCUUGGCAGUGCGGCUCCCGGCACAACUCGCGAGCGUGUCGCCGCGCAGCAGCAGCAGCAGCACGACGGCGGCGCGCGUUUGUUAUCGGCCGACUCCGGCGUGGCGUUGCACCCUCCCGGUCGACGACUUGGCGGCCUUCGCGACGGGCUCGGCAGUUUGCUGAGGCGGCUGGCGAACUGCGCGAAACAGCGGAUCGGCGAAAGGCGCUCGUAGGUGCGCCGUCAGCAGCAGCGGCAGGGCUAAUACGCGCGUCUGAAGCACAUGCGCCCAUGCUUCAUGAGUGCACGUCUUCUCAGACGCACGCGAUGGAUUUGAAUGCGUGUUUAUAUCUUGUGCACACUGUAUGUUGGGGGGAGGGAGGGAGGGAUGUGGCAUGCAGAAGGCGCACGUAGCACGCGGUUCAUAGCUGGGAUGGAUGGCUUCGCCUCUCUUGCGUCAUUUCCUCCCCCGCGCCGUCCCUCUUUCUCGCCCCCCCCUCCCUUCCCUGCGCGUGCAUGUUUGCAUCACGGCUGCCCAUUCGUAUGCCCUUCUUACUUUGGCUUUUUUGCGUUUUUUUUCCCUCAGGCCCACGCUCGUCCACCACCCCUCCUCCUCCUCCCUGUGGAGACAGAGGCAGAGCUGCUACGCGUCUGCGCAGGGUGAAUGGCAUGCGUUGCGCAUGCAGGCACACGUCCCACCAACGGUGCACGUACGCACAUCGCACGCGCACUGGCGGACGUGAACGCACCGGCCAGCAUGAGUGGGCGAAAGAGGGGAAGGAGCCUCCCCCUUGUAGGGUAUGUGUGCCACCGGCCCCACCUACCCACCCCCUCUCGUCUUUACUUUUCUCUUUUUAUAUCUCCCCUGCAUCUCUUCCUCAAAAGCCAUGUAGAGAGCGCAAAGAGGAAAAAGGGCAUGCGUGCGGAGCACGCAAACCUCACUCGUCGAGAGGGUGGGAACGUGAACACACACGCACGCACGCGCUCGAGCUAUGAGGAAGGAAAAGAGAAAGGCGAUAUCCAUAAGGUAUGUACCUUGGAUGCCCUCAGGUGUGCGCGUACGCCCAGGAUUCAGAAAAUGAAGCGGCCGCCUCCUUUGCCCUUCGCUCGCGCGGAGAUGCACACGUAGCAUGUCUCGCUCAACCUAUUCACCAGCCCUUAUCUGAAUGUGUAUGUGCAUGUGUUUUUCUUGCUACUGUGCUGCAAAACAGAACAUGUGAUGCUGCCCCCCUCCUCUUCUCGCUCG
rnacentral:misc_RNA from 1 species